rnacentral:rRNA from 1 species
CCUCCCGGAGCUAACGCGUUAAGUCGACCGCCUGGGGAGUACGGCCGCAAGGUUUAAACUCAAAUGAAUUGACGGGGGCCCGCACAAGCGGUGGAGCAUGUGGUUUAAUUCGAUGCAACGCGAAGAACCUUACCUGGCCUUGACAUCCACGGAAUUUGGCAGAGAUGCCUUAGUGCCUUCGGGAACCGUGAGACAGGUGCUGCAUGGCUGUCGUCAGCUCGUGUUGUGAAAUGUUGGGUUAAGUCCCGCAACGAGCGCAACCCUUAUCCUUUGUUGCCAGCGAUACGGUCGGGAACUCAAAGGAGACUGCCGGUGAUAAACCGGAGGAAGGUGGGGAUGACGUCAAGUCAUCAUGGCCCUUACGGCCAGGGCUACACACGUGCUACAAUGGCGCAUACAAAGAGAAGCGACCUCGCGAGAGCAAGCGGACCUCAUAAAGUGCGUCGUAGUCCGGAUCGGAGUCUGCAACUCGACUCCGUGAAGUCGGAAUCGCUAGUAAUCGUAGAUCAGAAUGCUACGGUGAAUACGUUCCCGGGCCUUGUACACACCGCCCGUCACACCAUGGGAGUGGGUUGCAAAAGAAGUAGGUAGCUUAACCUUCGGGAGGGCGCUUACCACUUUGUGAUUCAUGACUGGGGUGAAGUCGUAACAAGGUAACCAAGGGCGAAUUCCAG